ensembl:snRNA U4 U4 spliceosomal RNA
AGCUUUGCUCAGUGGCAGUAUCGUAGCCAAUGAGGUUUAUCUGAGGCACGAUUAUUGCUAAUUGGAUCUAUAACUUCAAAUUAUAAUAUAGGUUGUAAAGGGAAGUAAUAGGUUACUACUAUGAAAGUAUAACAGAAUA